rnacentral:tRNA from 1 species
UGUUCUGUGGCUUAGUUGGUUAAAGCGCCGGUCUAGUGAAUACGCAGUAGUGGGUUCGAAUCCCACCAGAACGC